GACGAACGCUGGCGGCGUGCUUAACACAUGCAAGUCGAACGGAAAGGCCCUGCUUUUGUGGGGUGCUCGAGUGGCGAACGGGUGAGUAACACGUGAGUAACCUGCCCUUGACUUUGGGAUAACUUCAGGAAACUGGGGCUAAUACCGGAUAGGAGCUCCUGCAGCAUGGUGGGGGUUGGAAAGUUUCGGCGGUUGGGGAUGGACUCGCGGCUUAUCAGCUUGUUGGUGGGAUAGUGGCUUACCAAGGCUUUGACGGGUAGCCGGCCUGAGAGGGUGACCGGCCACAUUGGGACUGAGAUACGGCCCAGACUCCUACGGGAGGCAGCAGUGGGGAAUAUUGCACAAUGGGCGGAAGCCUGAUGCAGCAACGCCGCGUGCGGGAUGACGGCCUUCGGGUUGUAAACCGCUUUCGCCUGUGACGAAGCGUGAGUGACGGUAAUGGGUAAAGAAGCACCGGCUAACUACGUG
rnacentral:rRNA from 1 species